rnacentral:misc_RNA from 1 species
GAUGAAGAACGUAGCGAAAUGCGAUAAGUAAUGUGAAUUGCAGAAUUCAGUGAAUCAUCGAAUCUUUGAACGCACAUUGCGCCCGCCAGUAUUCUGGCGGGCAUGCCUGUUCGAGCGUCAUUUCAACCCUCAGGCCCCGCCUGGCGUUGGGGAUCGGCGCGGCCCUCUCCGGGCUGCCGGCCCCGAAAACUAGUGGCGGUCUCGCUGUAGUCCUCCUCUGCGCAGUAGCAACGCUCACACUGGAACUCGGCGCGGCCACGCCGUAAAACACCCCACUUCUGAAAGUUGACCUCGGAUCAGGUAGGAAUACCCGCUGAACUUAAGCAUAUCAAUAAGCGGAGGA